GUUUAAUGAUGAUUAGAUCAAUGCCUGACUUGAUAUCACCAUAAUGCUAAAUGGUGUUGAUCAAGAAAUGACUUUUUAAUCUUCUCUCUGAAAUC
rfam:Crassostrea gigas strain 05x7-T-G4-1.051#20 contig8095, whole genome shotgun sequence.